rnacentral:rRNA from 1 species
GGGAACUGAAACAUCUAAGUACCCCGAGGAAAAGAAAUCAACCGAGAUUCCCCCAGUAGCGGCGAGCGAACGGGGAGCAGCCCAGAGCCUGAAUCAGUGUGUGUGUUAGUGGAAGCGUCUGGAAAGGCGUGCGAUACAGGGUGACAGCCCCGUACACAAAAAUGCACAUACUGUGAGCUCGAUGAGUAGGGCGGGACACGUGGUAUCCUGUCUGAAUAUGGGGGGACCAUCCUCCAAGGCUAAAUACUCCUGACUGACCGAUAGUGAACCAGUACCGUGAGGGAAAGGCGAAAAGAACCCCGGCGAGGGGAGUGAAAAAGAACCUGAAACCGUGUACGUACAAGCAGUGGGAGCACGCUUAGGCGUGUGACUGCGUACCUUUUGUAUAAUGGGUCAGCGACUUAUAUUCUGUAGCAAGGUUAACCGAAUAGGGGAGCCGAAGGGAAACCGAGUCUUAACUGGGCGUUAAGUUGCAGGGUAUAGACCCGAAACCCGGUGAUCUAGCCAUGGGCAGGUUGAAGGUUGGGUAACACUAACUGGAGGACCGAACCGACUAAUGUUGAAAAAUUAGCGGAUGACUUGUGGCUGGGGGUGAAAGGCCAAUCAAACCGGGAGAUAGCUGGUUCUCCCCGAAAGCUAUUUAGGUAGCGCCUCGUGAAUUCAUCUCCGGGGGUAGAGCACUGUUUCGGCAAGGGGGUCAUCCCGACUUACCAACCCGAUGCAAACUGCGAAUACCGGAGAAUGUUAUCACGGGAGACACACGGCGGGUGCUAACGUCCGUCGUGAAGAGGGAAACAACCCAGACCGCCAGCUAAGGUCCCAAAGUCAUGGUUAAGUGGGAAACGAUGUGGGAAGGCCCAGACAGCCAGGAUGUUGGCUUAGAAGCAGCCAUCAUUUAAAGAAAGCGUAAUAGCUCACUGGUCGAGUCGGCCUGCGCGGAAGAUGUAACGGGGCUAAACCAUGCACCGAAGCUGCGGCAGCGACGCUUAUGCGUUGUUGGGUAGGGGAGCGUUCUGUAAGCCUGUGAAGGUGUGCUGUGAGGUAUGCUGGAGGUAUCAGAAGUGCGAAUGCUGACAUAAGUAACGAUAAAGCGGGUGAAAAGCCCGCUCGCCGGAAGACCAAGGGUUCCUGUCCAACGUUAAUCGGGGCAGGGUGAGUCGACCCCUAAGGCGAGGCCGAAAGGCGUAGUCGAUGGGAAACAGGUUAAUAUUCCUGUACUUGGUGUUACUGCGAAGGGGGGACGGAGAAGGCUAUGUUGGCCGGGCGACGGUUGUCCCGGUUUAAGCGUGUAGGCUGGUUUUCCAGGCAAAUCCGGAAAAUCAAGGCCGAGGCGUGAUGACGAGGCACUACGGUGCUGAAGCAACAAAUGCCCUGCUUCCAGGAAAAGCCUCUAAGCAUCAGGUAACAUCAAAUCGUACCCCAAACCGACACAGGUGGUCAGGUAGAGAAUACCAAGGCGCUUGAGAGAACUCGGGUGAAGGAACUAGGCAAAAUGGUGCCGUAACUUCGGGAGAAGGCACGCUGAUACGUAGGUGAAGCGACUUGCUCGUGGAGCUGAAAUCAGUCGAAGAUACCAGCUGGCUGCAACUGUUUAUUAAAAACACAGCACUGUGCAAACACGAAAGUGGACGUAUACGGUGUGACGCCUGCCCGGUGCCGGAAGGUUAAUUGAUGGGGUUAGCGCAAGCGAAGCUCUUGAUCGAAGCCCCGGUAAACGGCGGCCGUAACUAUAACGGUCCUAAGGUAGCGAAAUUCCUUGUCGGGUAAGUUCCGACCUGCACGAAUGGCGUAAUGAUGGCCAGGCUGUCUCCACCCGAGACUCAGUGAAAUUGAACUCGCUGUGAAGAUGCAGUGUACCCGCGGCAAGACGGAAAGACCCCGUGAACCUUUACUAUAGCUUGACACUGAACAUUGAGCCUUGAUGUGUAGGAUAGGUGGGAGGCUUUGAAGUGUGGACGCCAGUCUGCAUGGAGCCGACCUUGAAAUACCACCCUUUAAUGUUUGAUGUUCUAACGUGGACCCGUGAUCCGGGUUGCGGACAGUGUCUGGUGGGUAGUUUGACUGGGGCGGUCUCCUCCUAAAGAGUAACGGAGGAGCACGAAGGUUGGCUAAUCCUGGUCGGACAUCAGGAGGUUAGUGCAAUGGCAUAAGCCAGCUUGACUGCGAGCGUGACGGCGCGAGCAGGUGCGAAAGCAGGUCAUAGUGAUCCGGUGGUUCUGAAUGGAAGGGCCAUCGCUCAACGGAUAAAAGGUACUCCGGGGAUAACAGGCUGAUACCGCCCAAGAGUUCAUAUCGACGGCGGUGUUUGGCACCUCGAUGUCGGCUCAUCACAUCCUGGGGCUGAAGUAGGUCCCAAGGGUAUGGCUGUUCGCCAUUUAAAGUGGUACGCGAGCUGGGUUUAGAACGUCGUGAGACAGUUCGGUCCCUAUCUGCCGUGGGCGCUGGAGAACUGAGGGGGGCUGCUCCUAGUACGAGAGGACCGGAGUGGACGCAUCACUGGUGUUCGGGUUGUCAUGCCAAUGGCACUGCCCGGUAGCUAAAUGCGGAAGAGAUAAGUGCUGAAAGCAUCUAAGCACGAAACUUGCCCCGAGAUGAGUUCUCCCUGACCCUUUAAGGGUCCUGAAGGAACGUUGAAGACGACGACGUUGAUAGGCCGGGUGUGUAAGCGCAGCGAUGCGUUGAGCUAACCGGUACUAAUGAACCGUGAGGCUUAACCUU